AGCGGCGGACGGGCGAGUAACGCGUGGGUAACCUGCCUCAUACAGGGGGAUAACAGUUGGAAACGGCUGCUAAUACCGCAUAAGCGCACAGUACCGCAUGGUACGGUGUGAAAAACUCCGGUGGUAUGAGAUGGACCCGCGUCUGAUUAGGUAGUUGGUGGGGUAACGGCCUACCAAGCCGACGAUCAGUAGCCGACCUGAGAGGGUGACCGGCCACAUUGGGACUGAGACACGGUCCAA
rnacentral:rRNA from 1 species